rnacentral:lncRNA from 1 species
UGGGUGAGGAUGAGCAGGGGCACCAGGAAGUGGGCACAGCUUUUAUAUCAAGUGGAAAAGAUUUGGUAGAGAUCAUCUAUUAUGAUGCAGUUUUUUACCAGUAGAAGUGGAUCUUGUGACACUGCCUUUGGAGUAAUGCAGCUUGUUGUGCAUUGCGUUUGUUGCAUGUUUAUGUGAAAGACUUUCAUGUUAUGGGGGAAUGUAAAUCUUAAUCUGCUGAAAUAACUGUAUAUGGGAAAAGUAUUUUGAAGACAUGCCUUAUGUCAGACAUCUUCCUCCCUCUCAUAGCAUUCCUGCAUUCAGAUUUUAGCCUGGAGUCUGCAGAUGCUAAUUUGAGGACCCAAAAUAGCCAUUGGCACUGGAUGUGUCUCUUGGAGAUGCUCUAAUUAGCCAGGCAUUCCGGGGGUGAUCCAGGGCUGAAAUUAGUGAGGGGUAGAGAUUCCUUUGAGUGCUGAAGGCUGAGUCACCUAAAUAACCUUCCCUUUUCUACUGGCACAUACCUGCUGGAGGUGCUUAUCUGCCAGUUGUGAGCUCACAAGCACCAGUGAUCUUUCAUUUCCUUCUUUCCCCAAAGGGCUAAUCCAUAUCUUAUUAUUUAUAGGAUUUUGGUAAAGACCAUAAACAAGAUAAAGGCUCCCGUUGUGCUUGGUGCUGUGGGGUGUGAUGUACAGCAAUGGUCACCUCUCCUCUCUGGAGGGGUUUCCCAACAAUUCUGUUCUCUUCAAGAGAUGCAUGGCUCUAGAAACACCCUCUUGCAGUGAGUGCUCUGUGUCUCCCAUCUCCCAUGAGGACAUGUGACAUCCCAUGAGGAGUCCCAUCUCCUCUGGUCCAUGCUUCCAGCCCAGCCCUUUGGUGUAAAUACUUGGGCUGGCCUUGCUUGGAGCUGCCACAAACCUGGACUUGACUCUUCCUUGGUGAGAUCUCGCCAUGCACAGUGGUUCAUAGUCAGUAUGUUGGUCAGCAAUAGGAGUGGGAACCAGAGCUCGCAGGGAAAAACACAGGGAAACUCCACUGGUAUCACAGAGAUGUACCCAGCAGCUUUUCCUGCAAGGAGACUGUCAUUCCCUGCCCGUUCCUUACACCUGGUUUCAGGUUGCUGUUUGGAUUAUUAAAUAAAGCAAAUGGCUAUGA